CUUCGGUUUGUCGCGGUGAACAACAAACGACGAGCGAUUCUUCCAGCAAACAGAGAACAGCGAAGGAUUCCGGUGAGGAUUCUGGCGAGGGCCUCCUUUUGUGUGCAGAUCUAGCCAACCUUCGCUUUGCCUCAAGGUAACUCCACUAACAAGACCGGGCAUGCAAGUCUAGUGAGCAUCAAGUAGCACAGCAGGUGACUGCUUGUGCGCAUUCUACCACAUUAACAGCACACCUACAAUGGUGGAUUGAUACGUAUACUGAAAUUUUCAAGAACCCUCUACCCUUAUAGCAGUGUUCUGCAAGCUUGUGUCGAUUUGAAACUUGCGAGCUCUCUACUAGAUUUUGAAUGCCAUUUCAAUGAAGUCCUUGAGAAAAAGAUGCGAUGAGUUUAGUUGUUUUGUUAUGUAGAUAGAUAUAACUCCAAUUACAAUCUGUUUAUUGAAUAGUUGAAUGUUACAAACAAUGCUUAUGACACUAACCUUAUAAAUUGGAAAUGAUACUUUUGAAAUC